rnacentral:rRNA from 1 species
UCAUCGAGUCUUUGAACGCAUAUUGCGGCUCCGGGUCACUCCCGGAGCCACGCCUGUCUGAGGGUCGGCGAACGUACUCGCAAGACUGCCUUGCUCCGGGCCUUCGUACGUCUUGCGCCUUGGCCAGUCGCACUGCUUUUCUGCAGACUGCGUCGGCCGAAGCGGAGAAUGUAAAGGGUUCGCCCGUCCUCGGGCGCCGUCGCCACCGUUCGAAUUGUCGCGGGUGUCCCUGCCCCCGGCGUCGACAGCGUGGAGACGCGGCUCGCUUAACUGCGAGACUUCGUGCUCCUGCCGUCGCUAGUCCGCGGGCGAGCUCCCGGGCCCGUUCGGAGGCGGUCCGUGCGCCAGCGAAUCCCUUGCGCUGGAAAGAAAACUGUCGUUUUCUCACACUCCGACCUCAGAUCAGACGAGACUACCCGCUGAAUUUAAGCAUAUUAAUAAGCGGAGGAAAAGAAACUAACA